UACGUAGGGUGCAAGCGUUGUCCGGAAUUAUUGGGCGUAAAGAGCUCGUAGGCGGUCUGUCGCGUCUGGUGUGAAAUCCCAUGGCUCAACUGUGGGCUUGCAUCGGGUACGGGCAGACUAGAGUGUGGUAGAGGGUAGUGGAAUUCCCGGUGUAGCAGUGAAAUGCGUAGAGAUCGGGAGGAACAUCCAUGGCGAAGGCGAUCCCCUGGGCCUGUACUGACGCUCAUGCACGAAAGCGUGGGGAGCAAACAGG
rnacentral:rRNA from 1 species